UUUUUGAAAGUGCUUAGCACAAAGGAUUGUAAAUCUUUCAUUUGAUAUUCUAUCUCAAAAUA
rnacentral:tRNA from 1 species